rnacentral:lncRNA from 12 species
GUUGCUUUGAAAAUGUCAGCAGAAAAGACAAUUAUGUUGCUAGCAAAUAUUCAUAAAUUAUAUUAAAAAGUCCUGUGGAAAUGUCCCCUAUGUUGCAGAAUCCUUCACAGUAACUGAACAAUCCUCUUAUUUCUUUGAUUUAAGGAUGGUAUUUGAAGCAAGAAGGUUCUUUGGGAAACUUUAAGGUAUGAGCCUGGCAAAGGAGGAGGCUGGCCUCGGAAAAUAAGAGCAUGCCUAUUCCAGAAAACCAAGACAGUGCACUCAUCAUGUACCUUGCCGGCUCUCCGUGACCUGUGCAUAUGUGCGCACAUCCCCACAGCUAACCUUGAUGAGAGACAGCCCCCCAGAUGGCAGCAACACAAGAGACACAGAAAGACAGGAAGUAAAGACAAGUAAAGACAAUGCCUUUACAUGAAGG